rfam:Stegodyphus mimosarum contig87258, whole genome shotgun sequence.
GCCUUCGUGGUGUAGUGGUCUGCACGCUGGACGCGUAACCGAGAGGUCCGUGGUUCGAUUCCCGGCAAAGGCG